CUGAACAUUCCUCCUCUUUGCUGGUGGUUAAGGGAGAUACCUCUCAUUCUGCCCAGUCAGUUAAUGGGUCAGAGAUUUUUUUCUCAAAUCCCAGAGAUGGAAUCACUGGUAUCUCUGGUUAGCCAGAUGAUGCUGGAUCUCAGGCGUGUUCUCUGAUUUGCAGGACUGAAUCUAAAGAGCUUAUUGCUUUGUAAUGCCAAGGUUGAGUGUUUUCAGAAGCAGAAGUUUCUGAGAUGUGCAGAUUAGGUGUGUGGAAAGAAUAAACCCAGCAGCACCUCAGACAUGCCUGCCUCUCCACAUCACCAGCUCCAGUGGGAGUCUGAUUUCAGCUUGUCCACGUCUGGGCAGAUUUUUCCUGUGAUGGGCAUGAUCAGAUUCCUACAUGAAAAUCAAAUCUCUCACCAAGUACAGAGUCUUUUCAGGCUGUCAGGAGAAGCAGAUUUCCACAAAGAAAAGAUCACAGUAAAUUUUUGUCUCAGUGCUAUAUGUUACAGGAGAAGCAGCUGCUGAACAACAACAACAAAAAAGUAUUUUAAAGGAGUAAAUAAAUGCUUAAAGCAGCUA